AUAUUGCGCAAUGGGGGAAACCCUGACGCAGCGACGCCGCGUGAACGAUGAAGGCCUUCGGGUCGUAAAGUUCUGUCCUCAGGGAAGAAUAAAUGACGGUACCUGAGGCGGAAGCCCCGGCUAACUACGUGCCAGCAGCCGCGGUAAUACGUAGGGGGCAAGCGUUGUCCGGAAUUCUUGGGCGUAAAGGGUGCGUAGGCGGCCCUUUAAGUCAGAUGGGAAAGCCCACGGCUUAACCGUGGGAAUGCAUUUGAAACUGGAGGGCUUGAGUGUCGGAGGGGGCAGUGGAAUUCCCAGUGUAGCGGUGGAAUGCGUAGAUAUUGGGAGGAACACCAGUGGCGAAGGCGACUGCCUGGACGAUAACUGACGCUGAGGCACGAAAGCUAGGGGAGCAAAC
rnacentral:rRNA from 1 species